UUUUAAAGUACUUAUAACCCACAUGUCAGCUGGGGUCAUCUUAUUUUUGGAGAUUCAAAUGGAAUGGGCUUGAACUUGGUCCCACAUGCCAUGGGAGACCCAACUUUCCUUGGAACCUUUCCAGGGAAUGGGGGUGAAGGGUGUUUGUGUCUCUCCUAGUCACCCAAGGUUCUGAAUUCCUGCAUCCAAUGAAUCCGUUCUGCUUAGGUGCCCUUUUUUGAUUUACAAUGUUGUGCCAGUUUCUGCUGUACAGCAAAGCGACCCAGUCAUUCAUUUGUUUACACACACACACACACACACACAUUCCCUUUCUUACAUUAUCUUCCAUCAUGGGCUAACCCAGGAGAUUGGCUAUAGUUCCCUGUGCUAUAUAGUAGGGCCGCACUGCUUAAUCCAGUCUAAAUGUCAUAGUUUGCAUCUACUAACUCCCAAUUCCCAGUCUGUCCUACUCCCUACCACCCACCACUGCAACCGCAAGUCUGUUCUUGACGUCUGUGAGUCUGUUUCCGUUUUGUAGAUAGGUUCGUUUGUGCCAUAUUUUAUAUUUCACAUAUUACUGAUAUCAUGUGGUAUUUGUCUUUCUCUUUAUGAUCUGCUUCACUUAGUAUGAGACUCUCUAGUUGCAUUCACGUUGCUAUAAAUGGCAUUAUUUCACUCUUUUUAUGGCUGAGUAGUAUUCCAUUAUAUACGUGUACCACAUCUUACUCCAUUCAUCUGUUGAUGGACAUGUAGGGGUUUCCAAGUCUUAGCUCUUGUCAAUAGUGCUGCUAUGAACACACAGGUGCAAUGUAUCUUUUUGAAUGAAAGUCUGUCCAGAUUUAUGCCCAGGAGUGGGAUUGCUGGAUCAUGUGGUAGUUCUAUAUUUACUUUUCUGAGGAACCUCCAUACUGUCUUCCAUGGUGGUUGUACUUAGUCAUUGUUGAACAAAGGGCUGCACAUUUUCAUUCUGCAAAUCAGGUAGCUAGACCUGCUUGAUUCAGGAGCUUUCCUUUCCCACCCCACGCUGACCCACUCGAGACUCUGCCCCAAUUCCUCCACUGUCCCUAAAGCCCAUCCAUGGAGUUCAUGUGUGUAUAGACUUGGACUGAAGCUUUCGGAUGAAGGAAAAUUUUGGCCUUCAAGCUAAGUUAACAGCAUCAAGUCCAGUGUAUGAACUGGCUCAAAGCUACUCAGUGGGAAACAAUGAAGGAGGAGGGAAGGCCGAUGAAACAAGAGCGGCCAAAGGUGGACCCGUGAAUAUACUCAAAGACACAGAGCUGGGCACUUGAGAUGGGUGAAUGAGAUGGUAAGUGAAUUAUAUCUCAAUAAAACUGUUGGGGGAAAAAAAAAGUCAUGCCUUCCCCACUCUUCCCCUCAUCCUGCCAGGAAUCCUUAGGCUCCAGACUCCUGCCUUUGGGGAAAUCUGUCUUCCACCCUCUCUCUGCAUGUGUGCACACACGCACGUGCACACAUACACACAACUUCCAUCUCUCGUUCCCAUUACCUUCUUCUGCCUUAAGACACUUUUUUUUUCUUCUUAGGGCCGCAUCUGCGGCCUAUGGAAGCUCCCAGGCUAGGGGUCAAAUGGGAGCUGGAGCUGCCAGUCUGUGCCACAGUCACAGCAAUGCCAGAUCCAAGCGACCUACACGGCAGUUCAUGGCCAUGCCUGAUCCUUAACCCCCUGAGCUGGGCCAGGGAUUGAACCCUCAUCCUCACAGACACUAUGUUGGGUUCUUAACCCGCUGAGCCACAACAGGAACUCUGGGACAUUUUUCAUUCUAUUUCCAUUCUCACCAAUAUCAGGGGAGGGCCUUCUCCCACAAUCAGGGUGCCCCACGGAGGUAUUUUCUUACAACACUUUCCUCUUUAAAGGCUACUCAGUUGACAGGUAUUAAAAU
rnacentral:lncRNA from 1 species